UACGUAGGUGGCAAGCGUUGUCCGGAGUUACUGGGCGUAAAGCGCACGCAGGCGGUCUGUUAAGUUUGGAGUGACAGUUGGUGGCUUAACUGCCAAAGUGCUUCGAAAACUGACAGACUUGAGGGCUUCAGAGGGACACGGAAUUCCGGGUGGAGUGGUGAAAUGCGUAGAGAUCCGGAGGAACACCAAAGGCGAAGGCAGUGUCCUGGGGAGUACCUGACGCUCAGGUGCGAAAGCCAGGGGAGCGAACGGG
rnacentral:rRNA from 1 species